rnacentral:ncRNA from 1 species
AAAAUUGAGAGUUUGAUCCUGGCUCAGGAUGAACGCUGGCGGCGUGCCUAAUACAUGCAAGUCGAACGAGUUCUGGUUAAGAGUAGCGGUGCUUGCACCAAAGCAAUUAACAAUGGAACGAGUGGCGGACGGG